GAGGGGAGUACUAUUUAAUUUAGAGUUAAUAAUUUGAAAUAUCCAAAUGGGAUAAUAAAAAUAUACUUAUCCAUUAACUUAAUUUUAAUAAAUUUUACUAGUUAAUUUACAUUUAUUCCUCAAUUUUACAUCACAAUUUCUUUCUUCGCUCUUGAAUCUCUAUCUCUUAAUAUUACACUCUCUUCCUCUACUCUUUUUUUUUUUUUUUAAUCUCUCCCUUAUCUCUGAAUCUACAGCUCUCUCUGUCUCAAUCUCAACUUUAUUUCUCUCUUUCUUUUCUCCAACAGUGGAGGUGAUUUUCUCUAAUGACAACGUUCAUAUCAUUAGGUGUUUAUUAUGCUAAGUUCUUGUCUUCUUAUUUAUCUGUUCAGCCA
rnacentral:lncRNA from 1 species